rnacentral:rRNA from 1 species
AGUGAACGCUGGCGGUAGGCCUAACACAUGCAAGUCGAACGGCAGCACAGUAAGAGCUUGCUCUUACGGGUGGCGAGUGGCGGACGGGUGAGGAAUACAUCGGACUCUACUUUUUCGUGGGGGAUAACGUAGGGAAACUUACGCUAAUACCGCAUACGACCUACGGGUGAAAGCAGGGGAUCUUCGGACCUUGCGCGAUUGAAUGAGCCGAUGUCGGAUUAGCUAGUUGGCGGGGUAAAGGCCCACCAAGGCGCCGAUCCGUAGCUGGUCUGAGAGGAUGAUCAGCCACACUGGAACUGAGACACGGUCCAGACUCCUACGGGAGGCAGCAGUGGGGAAUAUUGGACAAUGGGCGCAAGCCUGAUCCAGCCAUACCGCGUGGGUGAAGAAGGCCUUCGGGUUGUAAAGCCCUUCUGUUGGGAAAGAAAAGCAGCAGGUUAAUACCCCGCUGUUCUGACGGUACCCAAAGAAUAAGCACCGGCUAACUUCGUG